CCGACUUUAAAGGUAUGUUCCCAAUAUUACACCUCAGUGUGCUUGUAUUAAUUCAUUAGUAGGAUUUUUGACUGUAAGAUGUGAAACCACAUUUCUUGCAUGAUGUUUUAGAACUUAUGUAUUUCAUUUACAGUCUCUUAACAUGCGACAGCAGCACUUAGCGCAAGUUUUCACAAAUUUAAGAAUCAGUACACUAAAAUCCAUCCUUCUCAUGACUAAGGAAAGAAGGCUCUAGGAGGCUGAAAGGCAGGGAUUUAUUUCUGAUUUUCACUGCUAGCUGUUUCAGGAUUCCUCCUUGGGUAACUGGGGACUCGUGGUGCGAAACUGAAGCUGAGGAAGGGAGAGGGAGCAGCUGCCCCUUUGUGUGCUGAGCUGAGGGACAGUGGCAGUGACAGACAGCAGGGAGUGGCAGCACUGCUGGGAGCGGGGUGAAGCCAAGGGUGACCUCUCUGUACCUGUCCAGUGUCCUGGUGUGACUUCCAAAGCACAGCUCUGUGGAGAAGCACGUCCUGGUAGGAGUUCACAUACCUUAGUACAAGUCACAACGAGCUGCGUCUCCAGCCAAGAGCAAAACUUCUGCCCAGAGGACGCAGAUAUUUUCUUAGGUUCUUUAAUUGUUUUUAUUUUUUUUUUUUCUUCGUUGUUGUUUGGUUCAAGUUGGGUUUUUUAAUUAAUUCUAGGCAAUACACUUGCCAGUCUGUUCCUACUGUCCUUGUCUGCUGAUUUGAGACCCAGGUGCUGAAUGCAGUCAAGUGGUUACUCUCAGCUUUCUCCAUAGUGAGGGGGUUUUUUUUCUGUUUGAUGAUUUUAUUUUGUUUUUUAAGUUAAUAUUCCCCAAACUGUUCUUGUGCCUGUGUCUAUCUGAUUGCAUUCCAUGAUGCUUACUGAGAGCUCUGGCUGCAUUGUACGACAGCAGAACUGUAUUCACAGGUCGCACACAAAUGCAGCACUUAAGGUCAAUCUCUCUUCUUAAUAAGCAAUACGUAAGUGCCUUGAAACAUAUCUUCUUUUUUUUUUUUUUUUUUCCUUUUUCCUGUUUAUUUUUGGUUCGCUUUUCAGGUUUCCACUAGUUCUUUAGGAUUCUUUAGCAUCUGCCCGGUUUUUAAUGCUGUAAUGAUUUUUAAAAAGCAUAUCUGUAGCUUGCCCUAGAGGAAAUCUUUCUUUCAUAACACUAACUGUUAAUUCUAAGCUCCAUUAUUCCAUUUGAGUCAUGUAAUUUUGCUGGCUAAAGACAGCUUUCAGAAGUCAGAAGUCACUCCAUCCUGCCAAGCGUUAUCAUUGGGAUCUAUUAUAAAAUUAAUCAAAUAAAAUGCUGUCAGUAUUUCCUAUAUUUUUGGCACUUUAUUAAUGGCUUAGCUCCUUUUGCUGUUUCAUAUUUAAUGAUCUGUGUUGAAUGUGGAUUAGCCUGCUGAGAUGCUGUUGGGGUGAUCUCCUGCCCAGGGUCCCUUUGGGUUCCUUGGUGACCCCCUGGGCCGAGGAGCACCCUCAGACCUGGAGCUCAGAGAUGCUCCUGGGCUUUGUCCCAGUGUUUAGCCAAGGUCACAGCUGCUUUUCUGUUCCAGUGGAAAGUAGGAUGGGUUAGUUGAACUACUGCUGAUGUUCUCGGGUUGGACAUGAGUUACCUGCUGGUGUUUCUGGCCAAGGCCCCCCAGUUUAGAGGCUGAACUUACACUGCAAGGUGUGAGAGAUAGUUGGGAUCAAUUUGGAACUCACCCUUAGGAGGAAAAUGUGCUUUGGAAUAACUUUUUUUUUUUUUUUAAUGUAAUUCAAAGGAUAAAAAGUUGAAGGAGAAGAAAUGCCAAAGAGCAGCACAGUGGCUGUCAUCCCUUGGGUGCUGAUUCCAGGGGAAGGGAAUGUGUGAAGGGAUGACAUGGGGCUCAUCUCCCAGGGCAGCAGAGCCCUCGUUGCUGACGUUUCUUUUCCUGAUGGAUAAAAGCACAGGCAGCGUUCAGGAAAUCCAUCACGCCAGAUUCUGUUUUUCCUGAGGUUCUUUAAAAGCAUUUUAUUUUCUCUCUCUGUUUCCAGUUCCCUGCUCUUACCAAUGCUGUGCAUGAAGGGCCAGGGCUGUUUUAAUAGAAAUAACAUUUAUAUUGCAGUUAAAUUGUUGAUUUUUCUCUCUGGAUGAUUAGAGAAGGAAAAAGAGUGCAGUGCUUUGUUUGCUAAAAGCCAGGAAAGAGUAUCCCCUGGCAGAAGGGUCAUGCAGUGGAAUUGUCAAUACACUUCCAUUUUUCAGGAUACAGAUUUCAGACAAGAGCAUUGUAGAUGUUUAUUGGCAGAAAUGCAUUUAAUUACAGUUGCUUUUGAUGCCAUAAAUUUGACCAUUUUAUUUAUUCAUCAGUGAAAUGCCUAUGAAUAGAGCCACCCUUUAAAGGAAUCCAUAUCAGUGCACUCUGCCCAUAUCAUGAAUUGGUGAGUCCUUUACUAAUAAACUUCUUGCUGUAAUAAGAAAGAUCUAUAUUACAGUUAAAAAGAAAAAAAAAGUAUGUGCCUUUCUCAUUAGCUAAAAGAUCUCUGCAUUAUUUUUAUGUAACUUGUUGAUAUGGGAUUGGUGUAGAGCAGGGGGACCAUGAACACCACAGAAUUCUAUGCAAUAUUUUCCAAUCCAAUUACUUAAAAGUCCCUAUUUUGCAAUCCUUUAACAGCAAAAAUAGUAAGUUAGAGAAGUGCAUCAUGCUGGUGGUAAUUCAAACUGCAAAGGCUGAUAAAUUGACAUAAAAUAGAAUUGAGGGAAAUGUGACAAAUUAAUGUGAUGAAAUAAUGGAAAAUGCUAACAGUGGUUGCAGUCCCUACAAGCACAACUGCUGUCAGAAGUCUGUAAUCUUCCAUUUUAAAAUUAAUAAUUUCCAGUAUUUUUAAAGCUUUUAUGAAUAAGAAUGCUCCUGGCAAAAACAAGGCAGGUUAGAAACAAGGGGGAAAAAUCACAUUUUGAAAUUAUGAGAAUACACAAAAAAAAGUAAUUGGGUUUGGACACUUUGCACUUGCAUCCAAAAUGUUUUAUUUCAGUUGAAAUGCCACAGUAAUCUGUGCCUUCAGCAGGGCUGAGAGAGAUCAGUAGCUUGGCAGUUUGCUGCAGACUGAAAGUGGAGUGUUGACAUUUUUACCUGCACAUGGAGGGCACUAUUUUUGCUCCGUUUGUGUCUCUUCCUACAAAGGAGUUCCUGAAAUUCUCUGAUUUCCUCUUCACCCCUGGAUGUUCUCUGUCUUCAGCCUUGAGUGUGGCUGAGCUCCUCUUGGAGACUCAGGAACAAGAGAAGGAGAGUUGGUUCUUAGGUGGGGACUGGAUUGAACAUUCCCUAAAACCAAUUCAGGGCUUUCCUGUGAGUGUGUGGCAGUUCUGGCCCUGGUGUGACCAGCUGGUUGGAGCCUCUUAUCCCUGAAUUUAACUCACAUAAAACAUUGGACUGGGUUGAUUCCUGUGUUGUUCUGCCUUCCCCUUUCUGCUCUGUGAACAUCAUUGUCUUUGUGUUGCAUAUACAAUCAACUUUUCUGAGAAUUUAAAAAUUCUGUGCAAAGGAAAGACUUCCCCCUACCACAACCCCAGCAGUUUAAAGUCUGGUUUUAAAUUGCAAGGAGAAUCACUGGCAUGAGAAGUACAAGAUCUGAAUUUCUUUUCUGAUGUAACCUUUGUAGUUCAAAAGGGGUGUAGCAGUCCCUGUCUCCUUCACAUAUAUUUGAGCUCUAAAAUGUAGAAAUAUAAUUUCACCAACUUCUUCUUUCCUCCCCAUCUCUUUUAUAGGAUAUAUUGACUAUGCCAUAUAUAAAGUGUAGUUAAUAAUGGACUUUAUAGCAAGAAAAGCUCUUUAAACCAUGCCUAGGGACGGAUUUGUCCUACAUGACCAGGUCAUGGACUAUACCCUUCCCUAUUAAUAUGCAAGGAUAAAAUGGUUUUAUGCUCUGAACGUGAAAUUUAUCCUUUUGGAGAAGAUUAGCGUUAGGCCUGUGCACUUAAGUUUUCAGAAAGCCUUAAAAACAGGUGUGUAAGUGGUGCCAUCUCUGUCCUCAGGGAUGAUUUCCCCCCAGCCAAGUGGUACUGUGGCAUAUUUAAUAGCAGUUAUUAGUUAUAAGGUCAUUUUCCAGUUGAAGAAAGUCAUUCAUUGAACUUUAUUAGUGAGUCCCUGGCCAGCAUCCUCUGGUACAAUCCAGCACCUGCUUUUCCCAAACCUGGGCAUCCAUAUCCAUCCCAAAAUCUUUGUUUCUCUGUGAAAUCUGUGUUUCUACAACUCUUGUGAAUGGAAAAAACCCUAAUGGGAUUCCUGAACUUCGUUUUCAUUGCUAUUCACAAACAUCUUCUGGCACUAAGUGCAUUAAAAGGAAAAGCCUCCUUUUAAAAAAACUAAGAUUAUUGUAUUUUGUCCUUGUCCAGCUCUUCUAUAAAGGUCAGUUCUGCCAGUUUCAAGCUUGCUUUACUCACAGUGGUGUUGGGAGAUUUUAGCCACAGUUCUGUAGAUUUCCUAUUAUUAAAUCUGUUGGUUUGAUCACAUCAGUUCAGUUCCUUUGGACUUUGAACCAGCUGAGUGCAGAGAGAGCAGCUGAAUCCUUUACCAUAACAAAACAGCAAAGUGCAUACCCCUGUGAUGCCUUUGGCCUUCUGUUUGAAUUCCAGAGAUAUUUGUAAUACAUGGUACAGUCUUCAUCCAAAGUUCUUUGGAAAUGGAAGAAUUUCCUGCUGUUGUGGUGCCACACCUGAUUUUUGCACAGUUCCUGUGUAAUUCCUGGCAGUGUCACAACAGCACAGCCUCUCUCUUAGCAGCAAGCAGAAUAGUUGUGUUCUCUUCUGUCUGUGAGGAUAAUUAUUAUGCAUUUUUGGGAGUUGUGAAAUGUGUCUCUGUGCAUCAUUCCAGGGUGGAAAAGCCCCUCUGUGUAUUUAGCAUUUGUGUGCUUGGUCUUAAUGGAGCAGCAGAAUCGCUGCAGCCAAAUUUGUGAAAUCGUUUGGGAUGUAGGUGAGCAAAGGCUUAAAACCAAGAUGUAUUUUAAUGGGCAGAGGAUGCCAUUCCCCCCUUGUCAGAUCCAUUCCCUGCUGUAAAGAGGGGAUUAGCCACUGGAGAGACCAGGCUGCUGGAGAUGCAUGGGUUUAGCUAAUGAGGACAGGGGAGAUCAUGCUCAGAAUACAUAAAAAUGAUCCCAAGGGUCUGAGAUGUGCAAGAGCCAAGGAAUGGGAAAGGAGGGGUCAAACCUUGUCUGUAGGUUUGGCCUCCUGCAGGAAGUUCAUAUCCCAAAUACUUGCACAUGUGUAGUGCUCUCUCCUUUAUCAAUGUACAGUGGACAGUAAAGACAUUUUUAAAACAAUCACAAAACCAGCUGAUGAAAUAAAUUCAAGCCAAGUAUAGAAUUAAAGCAAGCAGCUCAGCCUUGCUCUCCCUUAGCUGAAAAUUCAAGUGUUUGUAGGAAUGAGGUAGAAAUUUUCUGUUAGGCAGCUCCUCUUGGAAGGUGAGUGUCUGUGCUUUCAAGAGAAUAAAUAAAACUUGGCACUUGACUUGCUCUGAAGUACAAUCUUGUCUCCAAGUAACUAGGAAAAAUAUUUUUGCAAUCAGUCUUUCAAUCAGACUUCCCUGGCUUUUAUUAGCUUGUGUUGGACCCUUUGUGCUGUUUUGAUGUGUUAUUUAUAUGUGGGUAAGUUAUUACUAGCUUUAAAAGUGUUUCCAAAGGACCUGGUUACCUCUGGACGCUGGCACAGGUGAUACAGGGAGUACUUGAGCAUCUGGUUUGGAAAGGAGGAGCGUGGGGAAUAGGCAAGGUCACAUCUGCAUUGUACUUUUCCCUUUCCUUGAUCAGGGCUUCCAUUUCCUUCUCACCUUCUCUAGAGAGAUGGAGUUCAUGGGUCAUUCCUUUUUUUUUUUCUGUGGGAGAAAGAUUUUAGUCGAGCUUGAAAUGAUUUUAUUUUCACUCCUAGGCAUAUCAUCAAAAAUCCUGUGUGUUGCCACAUUUCCCAUUAAGUCUUUAGGAUUUGCUUCCUGGAAUUGACUCUUUCACUUUCUCUACUUGGAAAGCUAUGUGCCUUAUUUCCUAAUCUCUUCAUGGAGAAUAAUCUAAAGCACAGUGAUCUGGCUUGCAGCAUUCCCAGACUCUUUUCAUUUAUUUUUGGGGGGAGCAAACACUGAUGGAGCAUCCCAGUGUCCCAGCACUGGCAGGUGCUUGGCCCCAGGCACAUCCAGCACUGUGUGUGAGGAGUCUUUGUGCAAUAGAAACUCUGGGGCUGUGCCUGGGGGGUUCCUGUCCCACAGCCAGUGAGGGUGAGCUCUCCUUCAGGGCCAUUCACACUCCUGGGGGGAAAGAAAAUCCCUGUGGGUUCCUUCCAGCAGCUCCUGGGACAGGACUGAGCCGUCAGCCGGCAGUUGAUGCUCACAGAGCUCUCACAGGUGUGUGAGUGUCCAAGAAACCCCUGUGGCAGCUCUUCUGUGCCAUCAGUCACAGCUGCUGUCCCCACUGCCCCUCCAGGGCCCUGCUGGCUCUAGGCUGAGGCUGUGCAGCCAUUCCAGCUGGGGUUUGUUUGGGGUUGUGCACAGCAGGCACCCCCAGCCCUCCAUCCCUCCCUCCCUCCCCGAGCUCGCUCUCUCUGCAGCAUCAGAAGGUGAAAUACACAGAGGUGCUUUGGGAUUAGGACAACAAUCCAAGAUUUCCUAUUGAUGAGAUUCAUUUGUAACAGUUUCUUUUUUGAGGUUUGGUUUUUUGUUGGGUAGAACAACAACAGGAGUAUUUACAUAUCAUUGGUUUGGGUUGGAAGGGAACUUAAAGCUCAUCCUGUUCCAACCCCCUGCCAUGGGCAGGGAUUCCCCACUAAACCAGGUUGCUGUCCCCUAAAUGGAUGUUGGAGAAAGCUUGGGAUUUCCUAGAGAUGGAGCAGGUGGUGUUGGCUCAUAGUAUCCAUAUCAUUGUGCCCCAGUUGUGUUUUCUAGAGCAAUCUUUUUUCUUUUUUCUUUUUUUUUAAGAAAAAAAAAAGUAUUUUAUCUAAAUGCCUAAUAAAUAAUAUUAUUUAAAUAGUUUUUUAAAAUAAUUUAGGACUGAGAAUAAGAAGCCUCAGUUGUGAGAGAAGAGACUUAAAAUAUACAGAGAGAGAAAAUACCCUGAGCCUCCUAGAGCCUCUACUGAGAAUUUGCUAAAGACACAGAGCCCCUGGUCAGAGCACAUUGCAAUUCACUCACAAGUGUUCAUUUAAAAUGAGAGACUGGUUUCCUGUGAUGUUCAUCUUUGUUGGCAUAUGUUUGACUUUCUGAAUUCAGAGCUGAUUUCCUUCUCAUUCAAAAGCUGGUCAAGGAAAAAAAAAUAUUAAAAAAAAAAAGGCAAACUUGUGCAGCAGCAACUUUUGCUGGUGUGAGCUCUGGAAAUCCACCUUGUGCUUUAUGUGUGGCACACAGGGGUGGCUCAGUUGUGCUGCUGUGUCCAGACAGGCUUUUCCCUGGCCAGGUGGCCCUGGGGAGCAGCAGAGCAGCCCCAGAUCCAGGCAGGAGAAGGAUGGGCAGGCUCCAGCUGUGCCAUUCCCAUGGCAUGGGCAGGAGAAGGAUGGGCAGGCUCCAGCUGUGCCAUUCCCCUGGCAUGGGCAGGAGAAGGAUGGGCAGGCUCCAGCUGUGCCAUUAUCCCAUGGCAUGGGCAGGAGAAGGAUGGGCAGGCUCCAGCUGUGCCAUUCCCCCCUGGCAUGGGCAGACAGAAGGAUGGGCAGGCUCCAGCUGUGCCAGUCCCCUGGCAUGGGCAGAGGGAAGGAUGGGCAGGCUCCAGCUGUGCCAUUCCCCCCUGGCAUGGGCAGAGGGAAGGAUGGGCAGGCUCCAGCUGUGCCAGUCCCCCUGGCAUGGGCAGAGGGAAGGAUGGGCAGGCUCCAGCUGUGCCAUUAUCCCAUGGCAUGGGCAGGAGAAGGAUGGGCAGGCUCCAGCUGUGCCAAUCCCCCCUGGCAUGGGCAGACAGAAGGAUGGGCAGGCUCCAGCUGUGCCAUUCCCAUGGCAUGGGCAGAGGGAAGGAUGGGCAGGCUCCAGCUGUGCCAAUCCCAUGGCAUGGGCAGAGGGAAGGAUGGGCAGGCUCCAGCUGUGCCAUUCCCCUGGCAUGGGCAGAGGGAAGGUGCUGGGCCAGCUGCAGGGCACUUCUGUGGCUUGGGAAGCAAAUUUGCACUUUGCCUUUCGAGGGUGUCCCACUUAAAGAUAAAAAAACCAUCCGGCGAAUUUCCCACAUCAGGUUCUUUUUCCUUCUGGUGUAGUCCAAAAAGAAACUGAAAAUGAGAGUAAAGAAAGCCCUAGUGUAAUGUUGGAUCAGCUCUGCCAAACAAAAGGUUGUUCCUCUUGGAAUACUCUAUGCAUUUCUGUGGUGAAAAGCAUUUUCUCCCAUUCCUUGCUGGAAAUGCUGUGAGAAUGUCACACAUACAAAUUUGGACAUUGAUCCCAAAGCAGAUGGAGGCUGGGGAGGGGGGAUGUUCUUUUUUUUUUCUUUUUUUUUUUUUUCUUUUUUUUGUUUUUUAAUUGUUUCCCUCAUGUCCCUUUUCAUUUUUAUUUUGUUUUUAAUUAAAAAAUUAACUCUUUGCAUUUGUGCAAUAACUACUUGCCAUGAGAAUGGGCAGACCUUGGAAAUGCCCCGACUACUAACACAGCACAAGAUGAACUCGAACAGAAAGUGGUGUACUUUUUCCUGAGAACUUUUUUUUUUUUUUUUUUUAAUAAUAAGCUCAGUUUUUACCCCAGUGUAUUGUGGUGUCUUACAUUUUUAGCAGUAUUUUAUAUUUUUUCUGUAACGCACUAAGUCUUAGAUGUUUUUAGAGCUUGUUUGUUAUAUUCACAAUCACGGAUUUUAAAAAAGAAAAAAGAAAAAAAAAAAAAAAGAUCCUCACAAAGACCCAAUUGACCAAAAAAAAGAAAAAAAGUGUCAUUUUUUUUGUACAAGUAGCUUUGAGAAGCCCACAUUGUGUUGCUGUGACUCAUCUUUUGUAACAUUUUAUUUCUUGGUAUUUGUUUAAACAUAAAAAAGUAAGAGUUUAUCUGGCUGGCAGUGCAGGGCAGCGCUCCCUCGUCAGCAGAGGCAUUGUUUCUGUCUUUGUUUGGUUUAGCCAUAAAAUGUUUGUUCUCAGCACUGUACAACGGUCCCUAUAUGAUAUGGAGAAGCAAUAUCACUGUAUGAAACUCACACGAUGUAUUAUUAUUAUUAUUCACUAGCACCCUAGGUGUGAUAAUUGAAGUAAAUAUCUUUUAUACAAACACAA